GUCAGGAAGAACUUCUCAGAGUCACGUAUCUGGCUGGUGGAACUGAGGCCUCCUGACCCAAGGCCAUCCUCCCUCCAUUACACUCUCUCCUUCACCAGGGAAGGGCCCUCCCUGUCCAUUACGGAGUCUCCACUUUCUAGCCUUGGACAUGAGGAAAUGACUCAACUCCUCGGUCAACCAGGCUCCAGGGUUUACAAAGCACCACUCAGAUGAAAGAAAUCUGCUAUCAGUGAGGCUAAGGGGGCAUCAACCACCGUCGCUGCCCCUCUCUGGCAUCCUGAUCUUGCUGCCAUCCUGGAGGCAGAACCAGACAGAGGAUAUCUCAGCUUCCUGUCCAGGGACAAGAAGUUAUUAAAAUUGAAAAAUAGACUGAAAACUCGUGUCUUGUGUUUUCCUCAACCUCUAUACAUUGACUGUGAAGUUUAAAAAAAUUAUUUCUAAAAUAUAAACAGAUUCUAAAAACCUCAAGUUUA
rnacentral:lncRNA from 1 species